UAGCCGUAAACGAUACUCGCUAGGUGUCGGCCACGGUGCGACCGUUGUCGGUGCCGUAGGGAAGCCGUGAAGCGAGCCACCUGGGAAGUACGGCCGCAAGGCUGAAACUUAAAGGAAUUGGCGGGGGAGCACAACAACGGGUGGAGCCUGCGGUUUAAUUGGACUCAACGCCGGGAAGCUCACCGGAUAAGACAGCGGAAUGAUUGCCGGGCUGAAGACCCUGCAUGACCAGCUGAGAGGAGGUGCAUGGCGUAGUCGUGU
rnacentral:rRNA from 1 species